CUUGCUUCAGCAGCACAUGCUAAAAUUGGAAUGAUACAGAGAAGAUUAGCCUGGCCCCUGUGCAAGGAUGACCUGCAAAUUUGUGAAACUUUCCACAUUAAA
ensembl:snRNA U6 U6 spliceosomal RNA